rnacentral:rRNA from 1 species
AGAGUUUGAUCCUGGCUCAGGAUGAACGCUGGCGGCGUGCCUAACACAUGCAAGUCGAACGAAGACUGUGCGGCGGAACUCUCCGGAGGGAAGACGCGCAGGACUGAGUGGCGGACGGGUGAGUAACGCGUGGGUAACCUGCCCUGUACAGGGGGACAACAGCUGGAAACGGCUGCUAAUACCGCAUAAGCCUACAGUACCGCAUGGUACAGCAGGAAAAACUCCGGUGGUACAGGAUGGGCCUGCGUCUGAUUAGUUAGUUGGCAGGGUAACGGCCUACCAAGACAACGAUCAGUAGCCGGCUUGAGAGAGUGGACGGCCACAUUGGGACUGAGACACGGCCCAAACUCCUACGGGAGGCAGCAGUGGGGAAUAUUGCACAAUGGGGGGAACCCUGAUGCAGCAACGCCGCGUGAGUGAAGAAGUAUUUCGGUAUGUAAAGCUCUAUCAGCAGGGAAGAAAAUGACGGUACCUGACUAAGAAGCUCCGGCUAAAUACGUGCCAGCAGCCGCGGUAAUACGUAUGGAGCAAGCGUUAUCCGGAUUUACUGGGUGUAAAGGGAGCGCAGGCGGUACGGCCAAGUCCGAUGUGAAAGCCCGGGGCUCAACCCCCGGGACUGCAUUGGAAACUGCCGCACUAGAGUGCCGGAGAGGUAAGUGGAAUUCCUAGUGUAGCGGUGAAAUGCGUAGAUAUUAGGAGGAACACCAGUGGCGAAGGCGGCUUACUGGACGGUAACUGACGCUGAGGCUCGAAAGCGUGGGGAGCAAACAGGAUUAGAUACCCUGGUAGUCCACGCCGUAAAC